AAAUUGAAGAGUUUGAUCAUGGCUCAGAUUGAACGCUGGCGGCAGGCCUAACACAUGCAAGUCGAACGGUAACAGGAAACAGCUUGCUGUUUCGCUGACGAGUGGCGGACGGGUGAGUAAUGUCUGGGAAACUGCCUGAUGGAGGGGGAUAACUACUGGAAACGGUAGCUAAUACCGCAUAACGUCGCAAGACCAAAGAGGGGGACCCUCGGGCCUCUUGCCAUCGGAUGUGCCCAGAUGGGAUUAGCUUGUUGGUGGGGUAA
rnacentral:rRNA from 1 species